AUUGAACGCUGGCGGCAGGCCUAACACAUGCAAGUCGAGCGGUAGAGAGAAGCUUGCUUCUCUUGAGAGCGGCGGACGGGUGAGUAAUGCCUAGGAAUCUGCCUGGUAGUGGGGGAUAACGUCCGGAAACGGACGCUAAUACCGCAUACGUCCUACGGGAGAAAGCAGGGGACCUUCGGGCCUUGCGCUAUCAGAUGAGCCUAGGUCGGAUUAGCUAGUUGGUGAGGUAAUGGCUCACCAAGGCGACGAUCCGUAACUGGUCUGAGAGGAUGAUCAGUCACACUGGAACUGAGACACGGUCCAGACUCCUACGGGAGGCAGCAGUGGGGAAUAUUGGACAAUGGGCGAAAGCCUGAUCCAGCCAUGCCGCGUGUGUGAAGAAGGUCUUCGGAUUGUAAAGCACUUUAAGUUGGGAGGAAGGGUUGUAGAUUAAUACUCUGCAAUUUUGACGUUACCGACAGAAUAAGCAUCGGCUAACUCUGUGCCAGCAGCCGCGGUAAUACAGAGGGUGCAAGCGUUAAUCGGAAUUACUGGGCGUAAAGCGCGCGUAGGUGGUUUGUUAAGUCGGAUGUGAAAUCCCCGGGCUCAACCUGGGAACUGCAUUCAAAACUGACUGACUAGAGUAUGGUAGAGGGUGGUGGAAUUUCCUGUGUAGCGGUGAAAUGCGUAGAUAUAGGAAGGAACACCAGUGGCGAAGGCGACCACCUGGACUAAUACUGACACUGAGGCUCGAAAGCGUGGGGAGCGAACAGG
rnacentral:rRNA from 1 species